rnacentral:rRNA from 1 species
UACGGGGGGGGCAAGCGUUGUUCGGAAUUACUGGGCGUAAAGGGCUCGUAGGCGGCCAACUAAGUCAGACGUGAAAUCCCUAGGCUCAACCUAGGAACUGCGUCUGAUACUGGAUGGCUUGAAUCCGGGAGAGGGAUGCAGAAUUCCAGGUGUAGCGGUGAAAUGCGUAGAUAUCUGGAGGAACACCGGUGGCGAAGGCGGCAUCCUGGACCGGCAUUGACGCUGAGGCGCGAAAGCCAGGGGAGCAAACGGG